GCAAGUAUGACUGUACUAGUUUUUGCUUAUUUUUUAGUUGUUUCCUAAAACAUCAUUUGUUGGUGUUUUAGGUUAAUAUAUUGUAAAGGUACAGCUUUUAGAUAUAUCCCAAUGUGUUCUAACUCACAACCUAACCAGAAAGCCCUUUUAAGCCCAUGCUUCCAUCCCAUUCAAGUUGUUGCCGACUGCAUCGAGCUGACGUGCAGUAACAUUUCUUGGAAUAUGCACAUCAGGUUAUGUGGAAGGUGACGGCACAGGGUUAAAAGGCCAUUCUGGUAACAUCGCUAGUUACAAUGUAAAUUUCCUGCAGAAGUAUAGAUCAUACAUAAGUUAGCAUGGUAGUAUAAGGUCUAGAUGUUGUUCUGCUUUUCCACGAGUUUUUGGUUGUGAUCACUUUGGUUUCUCCCUCUAAAUAACGUGUUUAUUCAAUGAUGAAAAAAAAGUAAAAGAAAAGCGUAUAUGACUAUGAUCAAAGAUUUAUUUAAUGAGCACAAUUUUGUUUAAUUCAGUUUUAGGUUUCUUCAUCUGGAAAAUAUUUGGACUUUGUUGCUCCAGUAUCUGGAAUAUAUUCGUGUUCACAGCAUAACCGGAAAGCCUGUAUGCUGCAACUUUCCACACCAUUUAAGUCACUGCCA
ensembl:lncRNA